CUGAUCUGGGGCCUCUCACCUUCUCCUCCCCUGCCCCAGAUCCCGGAUGGGGCUGGCCCCUCUCCUCCACGGGAUGGACCGAAUGGCCUCUGGCCCCUCUGCGUUUGAGAUCCAGGAGCCCUUUCCUGGGGUUUUAGUGUCUGAGCCUAGAAAAAGUGUCGGGUGUGGCAUCAGAGGCCUUGGACUGGAACCCAGCCCUGCCACUCUCCUUGCCUGGGUCUCAGUUUCCACUCUCCCAGGAGCACGUGGAGCUGCACGAAUCCAGGAACCAGGUCGGGUGCUUUUUCUGAGAGGGCCUUGAGCCCGACCAUAAGGGUAAGGGUGGUCUCAGGGAGCCGGAGCUGAGGGGGACCAGCUCCAUGAGGCCGAAUGGAGAUUUCUGGACUCCAGGAACUACGGCCCUCCCCAUCCUCUGGUCUGAAAGGUCCUGUGCCCUGUGAUGUGUCUCUGAGAGAGACCGGGCCGUCCCUGGGCCCCCUGGGCGAAGGGCUGGGAGAAUCACAGGGGCAGACACGGAAAGGACCGUGGUGAUCUUGGAGUUGACCUCAGGUUUCCAGAGCUGAAGUGACUUGCUUAAGGGUCGCCCACAAGUUCUAGUUCCACAGAGGUCAGAGCCAGUGCUCCCUGCCCCAUGCUGCUUGUCCACUUUGUGGACGACCCCCAGUGGAGAGCUA
rnacentral:lncRNA from 1 species